rnacentral:rRNA from 1 species
UACGGGGGGGGUAAGCGUUGUUCGGAAUUACUGGGCGUAAAGGGCUCGUAGGCGGCCAACUAAGUCAGACGUGAAAUCCCUCAGCUUAACUGGGGAACUGCGUCUGAUACUGGAUGGCUUGGAUUUGGGAGAGGAAUGCGGAAUUCCAGGUGUAGCGGUGAAAUGCGUAGAUAUCUGGAGGAACACCGGUGGCGAAAGCGGCUUGCUGGGCGUGAUCUGACGCUGAGGCGCGAAAGCGUGGGGAGCGAACAGG